rnacentral:rRNA from 1 species
UACGUAGGGUGCAGGCGUUAAUCGGAAUUACUGGGCGUAAAGCGUGCGCAGGCGGCUUCCUAAGUCAGAUGUGAAAUCCCCGGGCUCAACCUGGGAGCUGCGUUUGAAACUGGGAGGCUGGAGUGCGGCAGAGGGGGGUGGAAUUCCACGUGUAGCAGUGAAAUGCGUAGAGAUGUGGAGGAACACCGAUGGCGAAGGCAGCCCCCUGGGCCAAUACUGACGCUCAUGCACGAA